AUUUUAUAAUUCACUAGUGUUUGCCCAACAAAACCUUCCACCGCCUAUCUCCUACGCUACCCUGAAUGGCUCUGCUAAACAAUUGAUUCUCGUCUGCGCUUCGUUUUCUCCCAGGAUUUCUUUUUGUGAUUCUUUAACUCUUCCGUAGAAAGUCUUUUCUGGGCCUAAGAAAAAGAAAAUGGUUGAUGGAUUUUGGAAUUAUGUUGAGAAGAAAAAUAAUGGUUUCGCCUGUAAGUUUUGUGAGUUUGAAUUUGCAGCGCGCACUUCAGUUACUAGGAUUAAAUCACAUUUAUCAGGAAUUAAAGGGCUUGGCGUUAGCAUAUGGAAAUCUUUCAGGUAUAGAAAUAGGAAAUUGGGUAGACAGUAUGAUUGGAGGAGAGAUUGUGAUUAUCGAUCAAGGUAGAGCUCCUGAAGUGAGUGAAGCACAUCCAGCUAAAGGAAAAGCAUUUCAGACAACAGAGCUAGUGGGUCGUGCUUUUGAAAGAAAUGUAAGUGAGAUCUGGUCGUGGUUAAUGAAGGAUGAUGUCUUAAGUAUUGGUAUUUACGGGAUAGGCGGUGUUGGCAAAACGUCAUUGUUGAGACAUAUCAAUGAUCAGCUUCUACAAAGACCAAGCUCUUUCCAGAAUGUUUUUUGGAUUACUGUAACGCAAGAUUUCAGCAUUUAUAAAUUGCAGAAUCUCAUCGCCAAAGCUGUUGAUUUAGAUCUUUCAAAUGACGAGGAUGAGAAGAAAAGAGCUGUGAAAUUGUCAAAUGGAUUGAUUGCGAAAAAGAAAUUUGUUCUCAUUCUAGAUGAUUUGUGGAAUCAUUUUUCUCCAGAGAAGGUGGGCGUACCUGUUGGAGUCGAUGGAUGCAAGUUGAUUCUGACAAGUAGAUCAUUAAGAGUUUGUAGACAGAUGUGCUGCCAGGAGAAAAUAAAAGUGGAGCCACUUAGCGAGGAUGAAGCCUGGACUUUGUUUAUGGAGAAACUUGGCAUUAAUGUUGAACUUCCUUCAGAAGUUAUAGAGAUUGCAAAAUCUGUUGCAAAGGAAUGUACUGGUUUGCUACUUUGGAUAAUAACAAUGGCAGGAAGCAUGAGGCAAGUGGAUGAUAUAGGUCAGUGGAGGAAUGCGUUGGAGACAUUAAAAGAGUCAAAAAUUGGGAAGGGUGACAUGGAGGCUGAUAUAUUCAAGAUAAUAGAGUUCAGUUAUAUGAACUUGAACGAUUCAGCUUUGCAACAAGCUUUCUUAUACUGUGCAUUGUUUCCUGUAGAUUCCGGAAUCAGUAGAGAGGACUUAGUAGAGUAUAUGAUCGUCGAGGGAAUCGUUGCAAAAAGGAAGAGCAGACAAGCAGAAUCUGAUAAGGGCCAUGCCAUGCUUAAUAAACUUGAAAAUGCCUGCUUAAUAGAAAGUUGUACACGGGAAGGUUAUAGAUGCGUCCGAAUGAAUACCUUGGUUAGGGAUAUGGCCAUCAAAAUACAGAAAGUGAACUCUCAAGCCAUGGUUGAAUCUGGUGGAUAGUUAGAGAAAUUACCGGACAUAGAGAAAUGGACAGAGGAUCUAGUGCGGGUUUCCUUAAUGAAAAAUUACUUAACUGAAAUUCCAGCUAGCUAUUCACCAAGAUGUCCCAAUCUUUCUACAUUAUUGUUAUCUCAGAAUUACAUGCUGCGGUCGAUUGAAGGUUCUUUUUUCACACAAUUGAAUGGACUCGCAGUUCUUGAUCUUUCUAAUACAGGUAUUAAAAGUUUGCCAGGCUCCAUAUCUAAUCUGGUGUGCCUAACUUCAUUAUUACUCAGGAGGUGUCAACAGCUGAGGCAUGUACCAACAUUAGCAAAGCUUACAGCAUUGAAGAAGUUGGACCUGGUUUACACACAACUUGAAGAAUUGCCUGAAGGCAUGAAAUUGUUGUCCAAUCUUAGGUAUCUUGACCUCAGUCAUACUAGACUAAAACAGUUGUCUGCUGGGAUAAUACCUAAACUCUGCCGUCUGCAAGUUCUCGGAGUUCUCUUGUCAUCGGAAACUCAGGUGACACUUAAAGGAGAGGAAGUAGCAUGCUUGAAGAGGUUGGAAGCUUUGGAAUGCAAUUUUUGUGAUCUCAUUGACUUUAGCAAGUAUGUCAAGUCUUGGGAAGAUACACAGCCACCGAGAGCUUACUAUUUUAUAGUAGGACCUGCGGUUCCUUCUCUUUCUGGAAUACACAAGACGGAGUUAAAUAAUACAGUGCGGUUGUGUAACUGUAGUAUCAACAGAGAAGCAGAUUUUGUGACACUUCCAAAAACCAUUCAAGCCCUGGAAAUUGUGCAAUGCCACGACAUGACGAGCUUAUGUGCUGUUUCUUCAAUGAAACAUGCAAUAAAACUAAAAUCCUUGGUAAUUUGGGAUUGUAAUGGAAUAGCGUGCUUGCUUUCGUUGUCCAGGAUCUCCGCCGAUACACUCCAAAGCCUUGAGACUCUAUGUCUUAGCAGUUUGAAAACUUGUGUGGCCUCUUUAGCAGACAAAGAGCUCCUCCACCUCUAUUUCCAUUCAAGGGGCGUAGCGUGAUGGUAAAAGGUUUGAAAUCUGCACAGCAGGUCUCGAGUUCAAGUCAGGGCGUGCACCUCUUGUAAGAGCCUGGAACAGCCGGGGUUUUACUCGCUCACCUGGGCCCACAAAGUGCGCUUUCCGGGAGGUGGGGUUUCCUUGAAUCCAAAAAAAAAGAUAUUCGGGUGUCCAAGUAUGAAGGAGCUGUUCCCUGCUGGCGUGCUGCCAAACCUACAAAACCUGGAAGUGAUUGAAGUCGUAAAUUGCAACAAAAUGGAGACGAUGAUAGCAGAAGGAGGAGGAAGAAUCAUGAGUGAAGAAAGCAGUUUUAGUAUAAGCAACACUUCUGCUGUUAGCAGCACUGACAUCAGUCUCCCAAAGUUGAAGCUUUUGACAUUGAUAUGCUUACCAGAACUGCAAAUCAUUUGUAAUGAUGUAAUGAUCUGUAGUUCCCUUGAAGAAAUCAAUGCAGUUGACUGUCUGAAGCUAAAGAGAAUACCGAUCUCGCUUACCCUUCCUUGUCUUCAAAAAAUCAAAGUCAAGGCAUAUCCAAAAAAAUGGUGGGAAUCAGUAGAAUGGCGUUAUUGAAUACUAGUGAAGGAGGAAAGGUGUCCAAACUGGCACAAUUCACUCUGUUUUUCGCUCUGCCUCUCACUCUUGAGUCUAAAUUGUUCAAGAUUUUAUUGUCAUGUAAACAGUUAUCUAAUGGCAUGCUAGGUUGCUGCCUGCCACCAACUUUCUAUUUUGAUCUUCCAUGGUCUUUCUUUCAAUCAAAUAUUCAAAUACAGACUUGCAAUUAUCUGUAAACUUGUAGUAGCUCUCUGUUACAGCCUGUUGGAAACCAAUUUAUCAGAGUUUAAUUGAGUUUCUUUUUUCGAAA